rnacentral:rRNA from 1 species
AGGGCGUAAGCGCGGCAGGCGGUCUGUCAAUCUGAUGUGAAAUCCCCCGGCUCUACCUGGGAACUGCAUUCGAAACUGGCGAGCUAGGUCCUGUAGAGGGGGGUAGAAUUCCAGUGUAGCGUGAAAUGCGUAGGGCAGAUUGGAGGAAUACCGGUGGCGAAGGCGGCCCUUAGGGACUGUGACUGACGCUCAGGUGCGUUUAAGCGUGGGGAGCAAACAGGAUUAGAUACCCUGGUAGUCCACGCCGUAACGAUGACUAUUUGGAGGUUGAGCCCUUAGGCCUGUCUUCCUGGCUAACGCGUUAAAUCGACCGCCUGGGGAGUA